rfam:Rhizoctonia solani AG-1 IB, isolate 7/3/14, WGS project CAOJ01000000 data, contig: 20849
GGUUGGCUAGCUCAGUUGGUUAGAGCGUCGAGCUAAUACCACCUUGCGUGUAACUCGAAGGUCAUGGGUUCGACCCCCCUGCUGACCA